rnacentral:lncRNA from 10 species
ACAUCUUCAGUGUUUGACUCACUGCAAAGCCCAGCCUCCCUAUUGAGAAGCAGUCAAGGUACUGCGAUGUAGCUCCCAUGUUGAAAAACGAUCUCAGCCCAAUUCUCAUUCAUGUUACUAUUCUAGGGAGACAGAGUGGGGGCCUAACGUCUAGUGGAGGAGAGAGACGUGAAUAAAUGUACGUAACAAGAGGCAUCUAAAAAAGUGACCUUGGGGGGAAAACUGAAGAUAGCAAAAAGCGGUUGACCACAACUCUGUCAUCUAGAUAUCUAUCACCAACUCUAAAAUGUGUGUAGUCAACAAAUGCUGUGAAGCUACAUUCACAAUUUGUAUGGAUGAGCCGUCUGAUUGGAAUAAGACUCAGAUGUGGAAGGUACAAGCUCUUCAAGAUGAGUGACCCUUCCAGUAGGUGAGGGUCUGCACUCUGUGCCAGUUAAAAGAUAGCUCCACAAGGCAAAUCAGUGUGCUCUGACCCAAAGGAAGUGCAAGGAAAAAGAACAGCUGCCCACUGUGGACUUCUGGACAUCCCAUCUUCUAAGACUUUAAAGGACUUGCAUCUACUUUUGUUAAUCUACAAGCAUUCUUGGUAAAUAUCAGAUACACAAUACUAGCUGACUCUUCUCUUUGGCUUUUCGAUGCAGGUUGACUGUAAAUGGAGUCUGUAAAUUUCUACAAGUUGCUUCCUUGAUUUGUGCAGACUGUUCAUGGAUGAGAAUGCUGAAGGGAAUGGGGAGGCUGGUGCACACCCAACCGAAGCUGCAGGGCCCUUGCACUGCCCAGCCUAGAGGGCCUGGUUCUUGCUUAUUUGUUUUCUCUACUUGUUUAUUUUUCUCUGUACAUUUUCUGACUCAGUAAUGUGAGAGUAUUUGCAGAAAUGUAAAUCCUCAAAUCUUUCUCAGCAAGUUGAAUGUCUUUAUUACACAACCCACUUUAAAGUAGUCUUGUUUAUACAUUUAUUGGAAAUGAUCAAUAGUUAAACAGAUCCUAUAAGCAAUUAUAAGUAUAGUUUUACAAUUUAUUAAAUUAUUUCUUUAGCCCAACCACAGACCUGAAUACCGUGAUUAAGUUAUCUUGUUUAAGCCUUAAAAUAAUCCUAAGUAGUACGUACUCUUAUCAUCCCUAUGUGCUUAUAAACUCAAAAACUGUGGUAACUUGCCAAUACACACUGGAGCUGAGAUUAAACCAUGUCUGUGCAACUCUAAGCCCUGGAUCUCUGCAACUAUGCUAUAUAGGGAAUUUCAGAUCUGGAAGGACACUAGAUCCCAUUCUCUCCAACUUCUUCAUUGGACAGAUGGGAGAAGGGUGGCACACACAGCUAGUAGAGGACAAGCCAAGCUCAGAAACCAGAUUUCUUGCUGCCCAGUCCAAUGUUCUGACUAUAGUGCACUGCCAAAGG